GAUGAACGCUGGCGGCGUGCCUAAUACAUGCAAGUCGAGCGAACGGACGAGGAGCUUGCUUCUCUGAUGUUAGCGGCGGACGGGUGAGUAACACGUGGAUAACCUACCUAUAAGACUGGGAUAACUUCGGGAAACCGGAGCUAAUACCGGAUGAUAUUUUGAACCGCAUGGUUCAAAAGUGAAAGACGGUCUUGCUGUCACUUAUGGAUGGAUCCGCGCUGCAUUAGCUAGUUGGUAAGGUAACGGCUUACCAAGGCAACGAUGCAUAGCCGACCUGAGAGGGUGAUCGGCCACACUGGAACUGGGACACGGUCCAGACUCCUACGGGAGGCAGCAGUAGGGAAUCUGCCGCAAUGGGCGAAAGCCUGACGGAGCAACGCCGCGUGAGUGAUGAAGGUCUUCGGAUCGUAAAACUCUGUUAUUAGGGAAGAACAUAUGUGUAAGUAACUGUGCACAUCUUGACGGUACCUAAUCAGAAAGCCACGGCUAACUACGU
rnacentral:rRNA from 1 species